AGAGUUUGAUCCUGGCUCAGGAUGAACGCUGGCGGCGUGCUUAACACAUGCAAGUCGAACGAUGAUCCCAGCUUGCUGGGGGAUUAGUGGCGAACGGGUGAGUAACACGUGAGUAACCUGCCCUUAACUCUGGGAUAAGCCUGGGAAACUGGGUCUAAUACCGGAUAUGACUCCUCAUCGCAUGGUGGGGGGUGGAAAGCUUUAUUGUGGUUUUGGAUGGACUCGCGGCCUAUCAGCUAGUUGGUGAGGUAACGGCUCACCAAGGCGACGACGCGUAGCUGGUCUGAGAGGACGACCAGCCACAUCGGGACUGAGACACUGCCCGGACUCCUACGGGGGGCUGCAGUAACGAAUCUUCCGCAAUGCACGAAAGUGUGACGGAGCGACGCCGCGUGUGGGACGAAGCCCUUCGGGGUGUAAACCACUGUCAGGGGAAAGAAAGUUCUGAUCUACCCCAGAGGAAGGCACGGCUAACUCUGUGCCAGCAGCCGCGGUAAGACAGAGGUGCCAAGCGUUAGGCGGAAUCACUGGGCUUAAAGCGUGUGUAGGCGGGUCGUUAAGUACCUUGUGAAAUCCCACGGCUUAACCGUGGAACUGCUGGGUAUACUGGCGAUCUUGAGCCACUUAGGGGCUGUCGGAACAGACGGUGGAGCGGUGAAAUGCGUAGAUAUCGUCUGGAACGCCAACGGUGAAAACAGACAGCUGGGAGUGUGCUGACGCUGAGACACGAAAGCCAGGGGAGCGAACGGGAUUAGAUACCCCGGUAGUCC
rnacentral:rRNA from 1 species